rnacentral:rRNA from 1 species
GCGCGGCGAAAAACCUUUACACACAGUGUUUUUUGUUAUUACAAGAACUUUUGCUUUGGUCUGGACUAGAAAUAGUUUGGGCCAGAGGUUUACUGAACUAAACUUCAAUAUUUAUAUUGAAUUGUUAUUUAUUUAAUUGUCAAUUUGUUGAUUAAAUUCAAAAAAUCUUCAAAACUUUCAACAACGGAUCUCUUGGUUCUCGCAUCGAUGAAGAACGCAGCGAAAUGCGAUAAGUAAUAUGAAUUGCAGAUUUUCGUGAAUCAUCGAAUCUUUGAACGCACAUUGCGCCCUCUGGUAUUCCAGAGGGCAUGCCUGUUUGAGCGUCAUUUCUCUCUCAAACCUUCGGGUUUGGUAUUGAGUGAUACUCUUAGUCGAACUAGGCGUUUGCUUGAAAUGUAUUGGCAUGAGUGGUACUGGAUAGUGCUAUAUGACUUUCAAUGUAUUAGGUUUAUCCAACUCGUUGAAUAGUUUAAUGGUAUAUUUCUCGGUAUUCUAGGCUCGGCCUUACAAUAUAACAAACAAGUUUGACCUCAAAUCAGGUAGGAUUACCCGCUG